rnacentral:rRNA from 1 species
AGCUCCAAUAGCGUAUAUUAAAGUUGUUGCAGUUAAAAAGCUCGUAGUUGAAUAUCUGGUACAACGCGACUGGCCCGCCUCAAUAGAGCGUGAGCGCCGGUUAACGUUUGCCAUCCUUCUAGAAAACGUUUCAUCCUUCAUUGGUUGACUCGGGAUCUAGAUCUUUUACUUUGAAAAAAUUAGAGUGUUCAAAGCAGGCCCUUGCCACGAAUACAUUAGCAUGGAAUAAUAAUCUAGGACUUCGGUUCUAUUUUGUUGGUUUCUAGUACUGAAGUAAUGAUUGAUAGGGAUAGUUGGGGGUGCUAGUAUUCAGCGGCCAGAGGUGAAAUUCUUGGAUUCGCUGAAGACUAACUUAUGCGAAAGCAUUCACCAAGGAUGUCUUCUUUAAUCAAGAACGAAA